rnacentral:rRNA from 1 species
UACGGGGGGGGCAAGCGUUGUUCGGAAUUACUGGGCGUAAAGGGCUCGUAGGCGGCCAACUAAGUCAUACGUGAAAUCCCUCGGCUUAACCGGGGAACUGCGUCUGAUACUGGAUGGCUUGAGUUCGGGAGAGGGAUGGCGGAAUUCCAGGUGUAGCGGUGAAAUGCGCAGAUAUCAGGAGGAACACAGUGGCGAAGGCGGUGCUCUGGGCCGAACGACGCUGAGGAGCGAAAGCGUGGGGAGCAAACAGG